UCACCGCUUACGCGGGCAGUUUCACUAGAGUCCCCAGCAUUACCUGUUGGCAACUAGUGAUAGGGGUUGCGCUCGUUAUGGGACUUAACCCGACACCUCACGGCACGAGCUGACGACAGCCAUGCAGCACCUAGACAGCAGUCCCGAAGGAAGGACGCCUUUCGACGCCUGUCCACUGUCUUUCAAGCCCUGGUAAGGUUCCUCGCGUAUCAUCGAAUUAAACCACAUGCUCCUCCGCUUGUGCGGGCCCCCGUCAAUUCCUUUGAGUUUCAGUCUUGCGACCGUACUCCCCAGGUGGAUCACUUAAUGCUUUCGCUCAGACGCUGACAGUAUAUCGCCAACAUCGAGUGAUCAUAGUUUACGGCGUGGACUAC
rnacentral:misc_RNA from 1 species